rnacentral:misc_RNA from 1 species
GAUGAAGAACGCAGCGAAAUGCGAUAAGUAAUGUGAAUUGCAGAAUUCAGUGAAUCAUCGAAUCUUUGAACGCACAUUGCGCCCCCUGGCAUUCCGGGGGGCAUGCCUGUCCGAGCGUCAUUUCUGCCCUCAAGCACGGCUUGUGUGUUGGGUGUGGUCCCCCCGGGGACCUGCCCGAAAGGCAGCGGCGACGUCCGUCUGGUCCUCGAGCGUAUGGGGCUCUGUCACUCGCUCGGGAAGGACCUGCGGGGGUUGGUCACCACCAUGUUUUACCACGGUUGACCUCGGAUCAGGUAGGAGUUACCCGCUGAACUUAAGCAUAUCAAUAAGCGGAGGA